rnacentral:rRNA from 1 species
GAUGAGCGCUGGCGGCGUGCCUAAUACAUGCAAGUCGAGCGAACGGACGAGAAGCUUGCUUCUCUGACGUUAGCGGCGGACGGGUGAGUAACACGUGGAUAACCUACCUAUAAGACUGGGAUAACUUCGGGAAACCGUAGCUAAUACCGGAUAAUAUAUUGAACCGCAUGGUUCAAUAGUGAAAGACGGUCUUGCUGUCACUUAUAGAUGGAUCCGCGCCGCAUUAGCUAGUUGGUAAGGUAACGGCUUACCAAGGCAACGAUGCGUAGCCGACCUGAGAGGGUGAUCGGCCACACUGGAACUGAGACACGGUCCAGACUCCUACGGGAGGCAGCAGUAGGGAAUCUUCCGCAAUGGGCGAAAGCCUGACGGAGCAACGCCGCGUGAGUGAUGAAGGUCUUCGGAUCGUAAAACUCUGUUAUUAGGGAAGAACAAAUGUGUAAGUAACUAUGCACGUCUUGACGGUACCUAAUCAGAAAGCCACGGCUAACUACGUG